rnacentral:misc_RNA from 1 species
CUCCUCCAGCUCCUCCUCUUCCUCUCCGCCCGACUCGUCAUCGCUGCUCCGCUCUUGCGAAGAUGGACGCGCCUAGCUUACAGACACAUUCCCCGCAGACUCAGGACGGCCGCAUCCCGCUCUCAGCCGACGCCAGCAUCCUCCCACCCGCCUACCGCUCCGCCAUCGCAAACGAGUGGGCGUAUCGCUAUCCGCAGUACUACAGCGAGUGGGAGGACAUCUACUGGCUUUUUGAUGGAUGGGACGAGCUGGCCGACCGGCUUUACGUUGAUUGGGCGGCCCAUCUGAGCGAGGUUGAAGCGGUGCGGCGAGCGUACGCCAAGUUCGACGCGGGGGACGUGCGCUUUCCCAGCCUCGCAGCGAAGACAGCGCACUUGAAGCAGCUGGACCAGCGGGACGAUCGAAUGCACGAGCGGGCCGGAGAACUUUCUCGGCGGUUUGCAGGCCCUGCAGGUCUCUGCCUUCUUCGACGACGUUAUCUCGCUCGUAACCCGGAGCUAGACCGCACCGCACGCUUGACAGAUCUCCCUUCGCUAAACGGUCCUUCGCUUCUUUCUUCCGCGCUGGACGCUGGCAAAACAGCUGCGUCGUCGCUGUACUCGUGGAUCAGAGGCACGCGACCUGCCGCCUCCUGCCCUCCAUCUGAGCCUGAACCCCCUUCCUCACCUCAGACGAGCUGAACUCGUCAGCCUCUCGUCGCCUCAUGUACACCCCCCC